rnacentral:rRNA from 1 species
AUUGAACGCAGGCGGCAUGCCUUACACAUGCAAGUCGAACGGCAGCACGGGAGCAAUCCUGGUGGCGAGUGGCGAACGGGUGAGUAAAGUAUCGGAACGUGCCCAGUCGUGGGGGAUAACGUAGCGAAAGCUACGCUAAUACCGCAUACGAUCUAUGGAUGAAAGCGGGGGAUCGCAAGACCUCGCGCGAUUGGAGCGGCCGAUAUCGGAUUAGGUAGUUGGUGGGGUAAAGGCCCACCAAGCCGACGAUCUGUAGCUGGUCUGAGAGGACGACCAGCCACACUGGGACUGAGACACGGCCCAGACUCCUACGGGAGGCAGCAGUGGGGAAUUUUGGACAAUGGGCGCAAGCCUGAUCCAGCAAUGCCGCGUGCAGGAUGAAGGCCUUCGGGUUGUAAACUGCUUUUGUACGGAGCGAAAAGGCUCUCUCUAAUACAGGGGGCUCAUGACGGUACCGUAAGAAUAAGCACCGGCUAACUACGUGCCAGCAGCCGCCGUAAUAC